AUUGAACGCUGGCGGCAGGCUUAACACAUGCAAGUCGAGCGGGGAGAUGUAGCUUGCUACAUAUCCUAGCGGCGGACGGGUGAGUAAUGCUUAGGAAUCUGCCUAUUAGUGGGGGACAACAUUCCGAAAGGAAUGCUAAUACCGCAUACGCCCUACGGGGGAAAGCAGGGGAUCUUCGGACCUUGCGCUCAUAGAUGAGCCUAAGUCGGAUUAGCUAGUUGGUGGGGUAAAGGCCUACCAAGGCGACGAUCUGUAGCGGGUCUGAGAGGAUGAUCCGCCACACUGGGACGGAGACACGGCCCAGACGCCUACGGGAGGCAGCAGUGGGGAAUAUUGGACAAUGGGCGCAAGCCUGAUCCAGCCAUGCCGCGUGUGUGAAGAAGGCCUUUUGGUUGUAAAGCACUUUAAGCGAGGAGGAGGCUCCUUUAGUUAAUACCUAAAGAGAGUGGACGUUACUCGCAGAAUAAGCACCGGCUAACUCUGUG
rnacentral:rRNA from 1 species